GCUGGCGGCAUGCCUAACACAUGCAAGUCGAACGGAGGCCCGAAGCUUGCUUCGGUUACCUUAGUGGCGAACGGGUGAGUAACACGUGGGAAUCUACCUAAAAAUGGGGAAUAACUGUUGGAAACGGCAGCUAAUACCGCAUAAUCCCUUUGGGGUAAAGGCUUCGGUCGUUUUUAGAUGAGCCCGCGCUAGAUUAGGUUGUUGGUGAGGUAAAAGCUCACCAAGCCUGCAAUCUAUAGCUGGUCUGAGAGGAUGAUCAGCCACACUGGGACUGAGACACGGCCCAGACUCCUACGGGAGGCAGCAGUGGGGAAUAUUGGACAAUGGGGGAAACCCUGAUCCAGCAAUGCCGCGUGAGUGAAGAAGGCCCUAGGGUUGUAAAGCUCUUUCAGAAGUGAAGAUGAUGACUGUAACUUCAGAAGAAGAUCCGGCUAACUCCGUGCCAGCAGCCGCGGUAAUACGGAGGGAUCUAGCGUUGUUCGGAAUUACUGGGCGUAAAGGGCGCGUAGGCUGUAUGAUUAGUCAGAGGUGAAAUCCCUAAGCUUAACUUAGGAACUGCCUUUGAUACUGUCAUACUAGAGAAUGAGAGAGGUGAGUGGAAUUCCAAGUGUAGAGGUGAAAUUCGUAGAUAUUUGGAAGAACACCAGUGGCGAAAGCGGCUCACUGGCUCAUUUCUGACGCUGAGGCGCGAAAGCGUGGGUAGCAAACAGGAUUAGAUACCCUGGUAGUCCACGCUGUAAACGAUGAAUGCUAGCCGUUUGAAGUUUUACUUCAAGUGGUGCAGUUAACGCGUUAAGCAUUCCGCCUGGGGAGUACGAU
rnacentral:rRNA from 1 species